rnacentral:rRNA from 1 species
GCCAGCAGCCAUAUCACCCUGGCAACCCAUUGAAGCUAAGCAGGUGUGAGCCUGAUCAGUACCUGGAUGAGAGACCUCCUGGGAAAAACUAAGGUUGCUGCUGGAA